CACGAUUAAGGCUUUAACAAUUUUUGACAGACCCAAUGACAAGUCUGACUUACAAAGACUUUUAGGUCUAAUUAACUAUUUACGACCAUAUAUUCCCAAUCUGGCUUCGCUUACUAGCCCAUUGAGAGAUCUACUAAAGAAAAACACGAUAUUUGACUGGCAAAAAAUUCAUACUGAUGCCUUUGAGCGAAUUAAAGACUAUCUUAUCGACGAAUCCUGUUCUGCAGACUUUUGAUCCCAGUAAAGAGACCGUGAUUCAGACUGACUCGAGCAAGACAGGCAUAGGUUGUGUACUUUUGCAGGAUAAUAAACCCGUUUAUUAUGCCUCAAAAUCCUUAACAGAGACUGAAAUAAAUUAUGGUCAGAUAGAGAAAGUAUUUCUUGCUGUAUUAUACACUUGUAAGAAGUUUCACUCAUUUAUUUAUGGCCAAAAAGUUAUUAUGUUGACAGAUCAUUUACCGUUGAUUUCCAUAAUGAAAAAAGACUUACAUGACAUUCCGUCAACUCGCCUGCAGAGAAUAAAAUUAAAAUUAAGUAAAUACGACUUAACCAUGAAGCAUGUUCCAGGUACACAAAUGCACAUAGCAGAUGCAUUAAGUCGAGCCUGCUCCACGGCUAGUCAAGACUGUGAUAGUGAUCUCAAUGUAGUAAUUCACAGUGUUAACGUUUCAGAUGCAAUACUAUCUCAAUUGAAACAAGAAAUAAAAGUAGAUCCUGUAGCAUCAAAAUUAAUUGAUUUCUUCAAAAAAGGAUGGUCAACUUCCGUAUCCAAGCAAUUAAAAAAAAUCGUUCGACGACUCGCUGCACUUAAGAAGUUAUGCGCCUGUUCUUCUCACUGUAUAUCUUUGACUUCUGCGGACUUCUGCCUUCUUCUAACAUAGUGAUGAUACGUGUACAUUCGUCUUGUGUUAGCGACAUAAUAGUAUUUCAAUAAUGACGAUAAAAGACAACAAUGACUGCCUUUUAUCAUUGUGCUUUGACAGAUUGAAACAAAAGUGAGAAAACAAGCAAAAGUAAAACAAGCUUAAUUUGAAUUUGUUACCUAAUUCGACUU